AGUCAAGGACUGGGUUGCAAAUUGGCAAUACAUUUGGGACCUGAAAAUAAAGUAAUCAAGACGAAACAAUGAAGGAGAAGAUUUCUUAUCGUGGAAAAUACAAUUUUGGAGCUUAUGGUUCCUGAACAAAUUAUUGGUUUGGUAUAUGGUGAAGGCGGCAGCAAUCUGGCCGAUUGAGACAGAUUUCAGGUGCAAAAGUCGAAGUGCGCGAUGCUUCUUCCAGCAAAAGUGCGAGGUUGGUGGUUAUAUCAGGAACACCUGACCGAACCAGAGCAGCACAGAGCCUGUUUCAAGCCUUCAUUUUAGCAGCUCAGUAAUUUCCAAACCACCUGUCUUAUAUAGUCUUCAGCGGGUUGAUAGACAGAGAAAAUUAGCAAGCUUCAACUUAUAGGAAUAGUAGUUCAAUAUUAAUAUUAAUAUCAAAAUCAUAAAAUAGAAUCAAUAGAUAGAGACUGAUAGGUCAUUGUGACACAAUAUUUAAUCAAUGAAUCUCUUUUAUUAUUA